CUUAGUUGAAAGCUUAUUUUGUGCAUUUAAAAACUUAAAUGUUAUGUGUUAACUGUUAAUUUUGGUUGGUGACCCUUUACAACUAUUGUGGAAAUCUGGGCUUUGCCCUCAGAUGAGAGCCAGGACGAUCUUACCGGUUCGUACCCUACGGAUGGGAAUGCUUGACUGGAGCUACGUUAGGAGGAUCUCACGGGGCGCGUGGAGAUCACUCAGGGUGUAUAGUUUUUUGGUAGGAUGAUCAGAUUAGGUUGAUGUAUAGGGACUAGACGUCCUUCUUUUU
rnacentral:lncRNA from 1 species